UAUGAUACCACCCCGCCAAUCCUAGAAAUCUUUGCAAGGCUUUGAGAUCGUGCGGGAUUGGGAACUCUGCAACAGCGCUGGUCUUCUCUCGGUCAAUCUCCACUCCCCUCUCAGAGACUAUAUGGCCGAGGAAUUUGAGCUGUCGCUUGAAGAAGUGGCUUUUCUUCAUGUUCAACGUCAGACAAAACUCUCUCCAUCAGACGCUGGAAGUAUCCAGACUUCAGGUCCAAGGAACUAAACCAAGAGGCUCCUUCCAAGGAUUCAAGGAUGUCGUGAAUUAACGGCAUUGGAUAAGCG